rnacentral:misc_RNA from 1 species
GCCGAGAGGGGCACGCGCUUCAAAGAUUGAUGGCCACGUCCAUUUCAAGCGCCUUUGUUCUUCUCUGCGUUUUCUUUCCAUGCAAUUUGUCCAAAAGAAGUUAUGUAAUAACUCCGCAGUUGUUCAUCUAGAACAAGAGAAUUGAGAAGAAAGCAAAUUUAGCAGUACUCGCAUGCUCGGCUAAUGGUGCGGUCCUCUGGAAGUGAAUGAUAAUGAUAUUCAAUAAAUAACUUCCACUUGUUGCCUGUUGGAGCUUCUCAGUCCUUCAAUGGAAGAACAAUUUUUGCCAAGGAUCGGCUCAUGUACCCGUCCAGCGUCCAGACACAAUGAGAUUGGUCCAAUCAUGUGAGUCUCACGUGGGACAUCACUUUUGCGCCACAGUGCUGAACAUACAAGGAAAGAAUGACAGGCAACCACAUUUCUGAAGAAUUAUCAUUUUAGAAUCCAUAGAGUAAUUGGAAUCCAACCAUCUGCAGUAGCCUAGUAUUUCUCUAGCAGUUCCUCUAGAUUAAUUUGGUAGAUCUACUUUGUGUAUAGAUCAUUCACUGAAGAAUCUUGGACAGUAGCUCCAUGAAUACAGAAUAUAAGAGCUCUCCCUAUUUAGAUUAAUGUACCAUAAUUAAGAUUAUAAAGAAAACGAGUAGUGAAUAAUAAAUUAUUUAUCUACAAUGAGCUUGAAUUUGAAUGUCUGUAACUGUUACCAUCUUCUAAAUUGGAAAUGAAAAUGGGCAUUUUGCUAUAUACAGCAACAAACUAAUUUCAAACAACUGGAAGACUAUACAGAACUUCAGUUAAAUAACCUACAAAUAUAGUGGGGUGAAUGAGGGAAAGUGCAGGAUGUGUGAAUGCGAGAAGAUUGCUUUAUUGCAGUUCGAUUCUGGUGUUGUCCUUAUUGAAUUGAAUGAUCAACACAAAAAAAUGUCAUGUUGUAUUCUCCUUCAGUCUCCUCUCAGCUGCCAAAGCAGCAGCCACGGCAGGAGGCAAAUGUCUUAGACUUUCAGUGGUUUCUUCCUCACCUUUUGGAACUGUGGAGGCCACUGUCGCAAAUAGGGACUCUACAUCUUCAAGCGUCAAGAGUGGCUGAUCCUGAUUCUUUGUGUUACCACUUAUGAAGGAACUGGUGUUUUUACUCCUGUUCAAUUUAUAUAUGCUCUCUUCCACAGUACUUUUAACUAUAAAUCGGUGGACCAGGGUCUUAUUUUCCUGCCCAAUUCGGUGUACCCGGCUGAUUGCUUGUGCUUCUGCUGCAGGAUUAAGUAGAGGCUCUAAAAGAACAACAUACUGUGCUUCUAAAAGAUUAAGACCAUUGGCUCCAUGUUGGAUUAGAAGCAGCAAUACUUGAACACCUUUUUGUUCUUUUUGGCCAUGUAUUUUGUGAGUUCUUUUUGCACUGCUUUCUUGCCCUCUAAAUUCACUGAUGGCAAUAUGCGCCUUCCUUCCUCCUUUCAUCCGGAUAUAGGUGAUACCAUUAGCAUUGAAAGCAUGUUCUAACACAUCAAGUACAUCAUUCCAACUUGAGAAAACCAGAACUUUGGCAUCAGGAUCUGAAGAUUUGAUCCACAAGAUUCUUCUUGUGACUGCUUCGAUCUUCAUUUUACAAGAAAGGAAUGCACAAGAAGGAGAAGGAGAAGGAAAUAAAAAAGAAUUAAGUUAUCUAUGGUAAAAGAAGGAACAUGCAUGCAUAAAAAUCAUGCAUAAAUAUGAACCUUAACUUAGAAAGUUCAUGCAUACAUAAAAAUAUAAGUACACAGUUACUCCUAGUGCAUUGAAUUAGGAAGGACACCUUUGAUCCAUAUGAACCUUGAACGGUUAAAGAUGCUUCACAUUUUUCACAAUCUUGAACUGCAUUUAACAUAGCUGAAUUACAAGACUUGUCUUGUCUGUCAUCUGCAUAAGCAAUAUUCCCAAAAUCUGUAUGCUGCCGACAUGUUGGGCACAUGACCCAUUUACGUUGGAACUUAUUAUCGUGCUGCCUUUGCUCAGUCAUGGCAAAUAAACAUUUACAACAAGUAACAUGCCCACAUUGAAAAACCAUCUUUUGAUUGUUUAGCUUUUCUUGACAGAUUGGGCAUGCUUCCUCAUCUUUUGGUAGGUCUUUGCUUAUCUUCUCUGUAGACGUUGAUACUGUAGUAAUUUCUUGAGCUAAUGAGGAAUUAUUUGAGCUUUCUGAAGACGACCUCUGCUUAGAUAAUACCAAACCCUUCAAAUAGCGAAGCCUCCCUUUUACACGUGACAACAUGGACAAGGAAAUGAAUUUUUCAUUGGAGUGCAGCACACUAGCAGACUCCAAUUCAUUUGGACCUAAAGCAUCAAUGGAGUCAUCAUUCUCAUUUUCUCUUAGGUGUAAACGUGAUGUUGCCAUCCUAAUUUCAUCAUGAGCACGCAAAAGUUGAGCUUGAGAAACUGCCAGGGAUCUGGCAUGGCUGUAUUCCUUCCUCAUGCCCUCCAGAUUGUGUAGCUGCUUGCUGGCUGCCGUAAUUCCUUCCUUCCCCAACUGAACUUUGCAAUAACUCUUAAUAACUCCAAGAACAACUUCCAAUUCAGAGGGUGAUUUUGAAACCACUACUCUUUCUCCAGCAUCUCUCCUCUUUGAUGUUUCAUUGACAUCACCAGAUGAAGUUGGAUUUUUAUUUGGCCAUGAUAAAUUCCAAUAGAAACGGUUUAGUGCAGAGUUCUUCUUCUGCAGAUCUACUGCCUCUUCAGCAGAAGUAAUGAUCUCUCCACGCAAUUUGUUGAGCCGAAACAGCCUCGCCUCAUAAUCCUUAAAUAGUUCUUCUAGUUCACAAUGAAUACAUGUGGGACCAUCACCAAUAGCCUGGCAACUUCGACAGUAUCUCACACGUUCAAUAUCCUCUUCUUUUGGUUUCUCCAUUGUCUGGUCAAUUUCCAGAAGUCGAUCGAGUAAUGUUUUUCGAGAGGCUUCCAAUUGGUCCAAACGAGUCUGAAUAUGGUACUUUAAAGCAGUCAUGCUUUGGAAACAGGAUGCAAUUCUUGAUGACCUCGAAUUGUUGAGAGUUCCUGAGACAGCCUCUUCAAUUUUUCUUAUCAGGUCUCUUGAGAAGUCAUUGUUCAGCUCAGCAUGAUGAAGAGCAUCCAACCACCAAACUGUAUCUUGAUUUUCUCUGUCACUAAAUGCAUUACAAACCUGCUUGUAUGACUUUCUGAAGUCUUGUUGAGCCAUAGAGAGCUUAGCAGUAAACAUAGAUAGGUAUUUCUGUUUUAAUUCCUCACAUGUGGUCCUCAACAAUCCAUCACUGAAGGACAUAGAUGAUACAUCGGACGUACCAUCGACUCCUUGUUCUCCAUUUAAGCUAUUUUUUGAUAGAACUAUUGUAUUUCCAGCAUCAACAGUGCAAUAUGAAUCAUGCUCUCCACUAACCUUUCGCCUCUUCACAGCAUUUAUAUCACAAUUUUCAAUACUGUGUAUCUUAGAGGCCUUUUCAAAUUUUUCAUGCAGUUGUUCUCCAUUUGAGGAGAGAAGGGAUGGGCAGUUGGUAACCAUUGGAAGUAUCUCAGCAAGGUUAUGAUGAAUAUGAAUAUUCAGCAAAGGGUCUAGGCGAAAAUCUUCAGAGUGCUCUUCAGCUAGAGCCAAUGCUUCUCUGUAUAACGAUAUAGCUUGAGAAAAAUUUUGCUCAAUUAUAGCUAUGCCUGCAAGUGCAUUUAAUGCAACAACUAACUUCCUGAGAGCUUCCUCCCCUUCUAUCUUUGUCUUCCCAACAAGAACCAUUAGUAUUUCCUCCAUAGUCAUGGGGGAUUGUUGCACAGAACGCAGCCCUGAACUUCCUACUUGAGGGUGGCAGCAAGCUUGACGAAGCUUCAAGAGCGAGUUAAAUAGCUUUGCAGCCUCUGCAUGGGUGAUGAAAGGAUCAGCCAAAGCAUCAGAAGGUGAACAACCUGAGACUCUUCUUUUGAGAAUAUCGUCUUUCAGACUUUCAAUGACUUCACGGGCAUAAUUCACACAAGUUUCAUGCUGUCUCUGGUAAAAGUGCUCUUCAAUUGCUGAAAAUGUGAGCCAGGAGACACACUCUUCCUGAGGUGGGAGUUGCAACUCAUCUGCAACAUGUACUUUUGAAGAACGCCACAUGAUUUGCUUGAAGAAUUUAUGUGUAAAUUCCAUUGCUCCUGCAUCUCUCCUCUCAUAUGGAUCUCUUAUAACAUCAACCCACCACCGAGAAACAUUGAAAGGGGUAGCUUUAAGGAAUCUUAGAAGGCCAUAUAAGUCAUCAAGUUUCCUUUGUAUAGGUGUCCCUGUAAUACACCAAUGGUGCUUAGCAGACAAUCGAAGAGCCAUUUCUGUUGCAGCAGUAGCAUUACUCUCCACCAUUUGAGCCUCAUCCAAGCAAACCCUCCACCAAAAUAUUCUGGUGAGAAGAGUUGGAAUAACAGGAUACCUCUUCUGGAACCUUAGGAAGCGUCGAUCACCUUCAUGCCUAUCACAGUCAUGGGAUAAGUCCUCUUUGAGUACAUCAUACGUUGUUAGUACGAUGUCAGCAUUGACAAGUUCACUAAUAUCCACUGUAGUUGUAUUUGAAAGAGAUGUAUCUCGCACACCUUCAUAUACACAAGUUUUUAAGGAACCUGGACGCGUAUGACGUGCAAUUUCAGCAUGCCACUGUGGCAAUAUAGGAGUUGGACAGACAAUAAGUGUGGCACCAGUAGCUAUGGGAGAGUCAGUUGCUUGUAUCAAUUCAGAGCACAUCUGGCAAAUAUGAUCCCCAUCUCUCUCAACAAAGCUGAUUGUAGUUUUCUUUCUAUGUUUUUGCACCUCAAUUGUUGAUCUCUUCUUUUUCCCUUUAGCUGAAUAACCAACACAGUCUGCAUGUUGCCAAGCAUCACAAAUGUCGCACUGUACCCACAGUCCUCUAUAUCUAUAACUUUCACUCACAGCUCCACAUAUGCACUCAACACGUUCUAUUUUCAAUCUUCGAAUAUUAGCUUUCUGAUCUCCAGAACCCAGCCAUGCAUUAUCAAUGAAGAUGCUAUCUUCACAUGCUGGCUUCCGAUGAGCAAAUAUGCAAGCAAGCAGUUCAACAGUCUUCCCCAAACCCAUCUCAUCAGCAAGAAUCCCACCAAAGAUAUAUGGUGAAGUGAACUCCGGGAACAACGAAAUAUUGCCACUAAAUGGAUUAUAGAACAUUGUUGAACCACUGUCAAGAAAAUUCACGGGCAUACAUAAGGGGGAAAAGAAUUGACUUCUUUUGCCUUCACCUAAAUCUUUUGAAUCUCCUUUUUCUUGUUGUAACAUCCAGAAAGCUGCACGACGCUGAUAUGGUCUCAGUACAGGGAGCAAGUCAGAUAAGUCAUCAUCAAGCAUGGAAGCAGAUUUUGAUGGUUUAAUGGCUUCAUAAAACCCAGUAACAUCAAACCUUGCUCCUUUUCUGGACUUGGAGGUAUCAUCUCCCAUACCUGCAACAUUGUUGGCUGUCAUUUCUGUAGAUUUAGUAACCCCAUACCUAGCCUCUGACGUCAUUACUUCUGGUCGUAGCCAAGCCAUCACACUCAUCAUACUCUUCUUCCAUAGUUGCCUGGUAUUUUCUAGAAGGGACUCACAAGCAUCAAAAGCUUUCUUAAGUAUCUCCACCCUCACUCUUACAGAUACCAUCUCCUCUGAACAUUUAAACCCCAGAACUGGCCUCAAUGUCAAAAACUCCAUACUUGUCAAGUGAACAAGACCAGUAAUACCCUCAUCCGGUCCAUCAAAACUGCCAGAGAAAAUUACUGAUUGCAUUUCCCUAUCCUCAACCAUGCAUUUCUCAAUCAACUCCAAAGAUAUAUCACUGGAGGAAAGCACAGGCCAAUGACCAAACUUAAUACGAUCAAUCAAAAACUCAUCAACAUUGCACACUCGAAACCUUAAGGAAUACCUAGACUGAUAAAAGUCUGCAUUUAUUCUGAAACUAGAAUAUGCUUCUCCAAAAUUCAUGUCAUUUAAGAUGACUUCAGAUAUAUCAAGGUGCUCAUUUGAAACCCAAUUACUCCUAUCAACUUCCACAUAAUACGGUCUAUCAAUAGCAACAAAUUCCCCCUUGUUUGCUGACUCGGUCUCAGGUACUUUCUGUUUAUCCAAUUCUACUUCAGUAGCAUCACUGUUUGCUAUAAUUAAUCCACCAGACCGAUGUGGGCGGGCUUGCUUCCUUCUACCCAUCACUGAAAUUUCUGUUCGCGCGGGGUCAAAGCUGCUGCCAGCGCGUGGCGUGCACUCACCAGUGUCGAAUCAAGAAGCUCAGGCAGCCUCCAUGCUUGCCGCCACACGCUAAAACAGCAAGUAGCUGCACAAAUCGAAGACCGCAAACUCCGGUUCUACAGCUUUUCGAUUUCAAAUUCCAGUAAAAAUGACGGUAAUGGUGGUUUAUCCAGUGACAAUAGGUGGCAGGGAAGCUUGCUUUAGCUUCGCCGGGGUUAAAAGAGCCAGAAAAGACUGUGGGGAGGCUCAACAGUCACGUCUCCUUCCUACCUCAGUUUCUACCUCAAAUGAAGUCAAUGGGGCAGAGUAGAUUGGUCGGCAGUCAUGGCUGGUCGGAAACUGAACAGAGGAAGGUUGGGUUCUCUCUUUCCUCUUUGCACGUUUAACCUAGGGGUGGACAAGCAGAACCAGAAAAACAACCGACUAUCCG